rnacentral:rRNA from 1 species
CGGCGGACGGGUGAGUAACACGUGGAUAACCUACCUAUAAGACUGGGAUAACUUCGGGAAACCGGAGCUAAUACCGGAUAAUAUAUUGAACCGCAUGGUUCAAUAGUGAAAGACGGUUUUGCUGUCACUUAUAGAUGGAUCCGCGCCGCAUUAGCUAGUUGGUAAGGUAACGGCUUACCAAGGCAACGAUGCGUAGCCGACCUUAGAGGGUGAUCGGCCACACUGGAACUGAGACACGGUCCAG